UACGUAGGGUGCGAGCGUUAAUCGGAAUUACUGGGGGUAAAGCGUGCGCAGGCGGUUCGCUGUGUCCUGUGUGAAAGCCCCGGGCUUAACCUGGGAAUGGCAUGGGAAACUGGCGGGCUGGAGUGUGGCAGAGGGGGGUGGAAUUCCGCGUGUAGCAGUGAAAUGCGUAGAGAUGCGGAGGAACACCGAUGGCGAAGGCAGCCCCCUGGGCUAACACUGACGCUCAUGCACGAAAGCGUGGGGAGCAAACAGG
rnacentral:rRNA from 1 species